GACGAACGCUGGCGGCGUGCUUAACACAUGCAAGUCGAACGGAAAGGCCCUGCUUUUGUGGGGUGCUCGAGUGGCGAACGGGUGAGUAACACGUGAGUAACCUGCCCUUGACUUUGGGAUAACUUCAGGAAACUGGGGCUAAUACCGGAUAGGAGCUCCUGCUGCAUGGUGGGGGUUGGAAAGUUUCGGCGGUUGGGGAUGGACUCGCGGCUUAUCAGCUUGUUGGUGGGGUAGUGGCUUACCAAGGCUUUGACGGGUAGCCGGCCUGAGAGGGUGACCGGCCACAUUGGGACUGAGACACGGCCCAGACUCCUACGGGAGGCAGCAGUGGGGAAUAUUGCACAAUGGGCGGAAGCCUGAUGCAGCAACGCCGCGUGCGGGAUGACGGCCUUCGGGUUGUAAACCGCUUUCGCCUGUGACGAAGCGUGAGUGACGGUAAUGGGUAAAGAAGCACCGGCUAACUACGUGCCAGCAGCCGCGGUGAUACGUAGGGUGCGAGCGUUGUCCGGAUUUAUUGGGCGUAAAGGGCUCGUAGGUGGUUGAUCGCGUCGGAAGUGUAAUCUUGGGGCUUAACCCUGAGCGUGCUUUCGAUACGGGUUGACUUGAGGAAGGUAGGGGAGAAUGGAAUUCCUGGUGGAGCGGUGGAAUGCGCAGAUAUCAGGAGGAACACCAGUGGCGAAGGCGGUUCUCUGGGCCUUUCCUGACGCUGAGGAGCGAAAGCGUGGGGAGCGAACAGGCUUAGAUACCCUGGUAGUCCACGCUGUAAACGGUGGGUACUAGGUGUGGGGUCCAUUCCACGGGUUCCGUGCCGUAGCUAACGCUUUAAGUACCCCGCCUGGGGAGUACGGCCGCAAGGCUAAAACUCAAAGGAAUUGACGGGGCCCCGCACAAGCGGCGGAGCAUGCGGAUUAAUUCGAUGCAACGCGUAGAACCUUACCUGGGUUUGACAUGGAUCGGGAGUGCUCAGAGAUGGGUGUGCCUCUUUUGGGGUCGGUUCACAGGUGGUGCAUGGCUGUCGUCAGCUCGUGUCGUGAGAUGUUGGGUUAAGUCCCGCAACGAGCGCAACCCUUGUUCACUGUUGCCAGCACGUUAUGGUGGGGACUCAGUGGAGACCGCCGGGGUCAACUCGGAGGAAGGUGGGGAUGACGUCAAGUCAUCAUGCCCCUUAUGUCCAGGGCUUCACGCAUGCUACAAUGGCUGGUACAGAGAGUGGCGAGCCUGUGAGGGUGAGCGAAUCUCGGAAAGCCGGUCUCAGUUCGGAUUGGGGUCUGCAACUCGACCUCAUGAAGUCGGAGUCGCUAGUAAUCGCAGAUCAGCAACGCUGCGGUGAGUACGUUCCCGGGGCU
rnacentral:rRNA from 1 species